rnacentral:rRNA from 2 species
UUCGUAGGUGAACCUGCGGAGGGAUCAUUACAGAGUUAUCUAACUCCCAAACCCAUGUGAACUUACCUUUGUUGCCUCGGCAGUAGUUGCUGGGCGAGCCUACCCGGGAACGAGCUACCCUGUAGCGAGUUACCCUGGAACGACUUACCCUGUAACGCCUGCCGGUGGACUACUAAACUCUUGUUAUUUUUAAGUAAUCUGAGCGUCUUAUUUUAAUAAGUCAAAACUUUCAACAACGGAUCUCUUGGUUCUGGCAUCGAUGAAGAACGCAGCGAAAUGCGAUAAGUAAUGUGAAUUGCAGAAUUCAGUGAAUCAUCGAAUCUUUGAACGCACAUUGCGCCCAUUAGUAUUCUAGUGGGCAUGCCUGUUCGAGCGUCAUUUCAACCCUUAAGCCUAGCUUAGUAUUGGGAAUCGACUUUACUGUCGUUCCUCAAAUUCAACGGCGGAUUUAUAGCAAUCUCUGAACGUAGUAAUUUUUUUUCUCGUUUUUGAAAUACUAUAAACCUCAGCCGCUAAACCCCCAAUUUCUUAUGGUUGACCUCGGAUCAGGUAGGAAUACCCGCUGAACUUAAGCAUAUCAAUAAGCGGAGG